AAUGAAAUAGUAUGGAUUGGGGAAAUUACAAACUAGGAUUUUGGAAAAUUUGGGGGUUUUGAAAAAUGAAGUGCUGAUGAUAUAUUAAUGUUAAAUUAUAGUCAUUUGGGGUGAAUUAAAUUUGAUUUGGUGUUGGUUAGUGCAAGUUCUACUUAGCUCUCUCCUUUCACCUUUUAAAACAUGUGGAAUUGAGUUGAAUUUCUAUGAAAAUUUAAGAAAAUGAUAAGUAUUUAGGGAAGGUGAAAUUUGGCAGCCUUGAUGCAUGAGAGUAUGAAGAGUUUAAUUGAUAUUAAAAUUGCUUAGAAAUGGUAUUAGAUGUGUAUAUGUGAUGGACAUGUUGAUUUGGUAUAAGUUGCAUGGGAUGUGAUUAUGGAGGUUAGGGUUUUACAUGAAAAUUGGGAAUUUGUUGAUAUGAUACUCAAAUGAGGUAGUUAAGGUCAACUAGUGAUCAUUUGAGAUAGUUUGACCAUGUAUUGAAG
rnacentral:misc_RNA from 1 species